GAUGAACGCUGGCGGCGUGCCUAAUACAUGCAAGUCGAGCGAACGGACGAGAAGCUUGCUUCUCUGCUGUUAGCGGCGGACGGGUGAGUAACACGUGGCUAACCUACCUAUAAGACUGGGAUCACUUCGGGAACCGGAGCUAAUCCCGGAUAAUAUUUUGGACCGCGUGGUUCCAACGUAAAAGACGCUCUUGCUGUCACUUAUAGAUGGUUCGCCGCUGCAUUAGCUAGUUGGUAAGGUAACGGCUUACCAAGACAACGAUGCAUAGCCGACCUGAGAGGGUGAUCGGCCACACUGGAACUGAGACACGGUCCAGACUCCUACGGGAGGCAGCAGUAGGGAAUCUUCCGCAAUGGGCGAAAGCCUGACGGAGCAAUGCCGCGUGUGUGAUGAAGGUCUUCGGAUCGUAAAACUCUGUUAUUAGGGAAGAACAUAUGUGUAAGUAACUGUGCACAUCUUGACGGUACCUAAUCAGAAAGCCACGGCUAACUACGUG
rnacentral:rRNA from 1 species